GUUUCUCUAAAAAGAAAGUUUGAAAGAAAAAAAAAUCUGUAUUUUUUUAUAAUAUAGACCUUAAGUGGCUUUUACAGCACACUGUAUGAAAGUCAGGUUUGUGUGAACUUUAAACCUGUGUGUUAACUGCAUAGAAAAUAUAAACCGAUAACAGGAAAUGGUACACAUUUUAAAAUGUUAUUAUAUCCAACUUUAUUUUUUUUCCAGGGGUUUAUAAUUUGUCUUUAAGUAGAUAGGAAGUAAAACAAUGUAAGCAACAGGAAAGUCGUUUCCUUUAUAUAAAUAACCAUGGAUAUAAUUUCACCUUAAAUCAUAAACAAAUAGGAAACACCUGAUUGGUAUGUAUAAUUUCACAUAUAGGAGUGCACAAACAGAUUACAUAGCAGACAUUAGGUACGUAAACGAGCAAAUAUAGGGUAGAUAUUAUUAUUAGAAUGGAUUCAUAGUUUAUAAAAUAUUUUACAUACAUUGUUCUCUCUCGUUUUCAUAUUUGUCCUGUGGAACACAUAUAAUUACAAUGUUACAUAUACAGUAGAAGAACUACACCGUACAAUUCUAGAUACAUGGUUAAAGGGUCACUAUAGAACUAUAGUCACUAAAACAAACAUGUAUUCCUGACCCUAUAGUGUUAACACCACAAUCUAGCCCCUCUGGGCCCCUCAUGCCUCCAUAAAUAUUGUAAAAAUCUUACUGUAUUCAAGGCUGAAGCUGUAAAUCUGCAUGCUGUUAGACUCAGAAAAACAAUCAGUCUGCUGACAUGUGAUAGCCUGAUCCAAUCACAAUGCUUCCCCAUAGGAUUGGCUGAGACUGACAAAGAGGCAGAUCAGGGGCAGAGCCAACAUGAUUCAAACACAGCCCUGGCCAAUCAGCAUCUCCUCAUAGAGAUGAAUUGAAUUAAUGUAUCUCUAUGAGGAAAGUUCAGUGUCUGCAUGCGGAGGGAGGAGAUACUGAAUCACAGGAUGCUGUGCGCAGUGCUGCCCUGUGCUCUGCUGACAGCAGAUCUGAGUGGAUGGAGGCAUAUUAUGCCUCCAUCAACUCAGAAGUCCCUCUGGUGGUUGACUGAGGGAAGACUUAGAGCUGCAAUGUAAACAUUGCAGUUACUCUGGAACUGCAAUGUUUACAUUGCAGCAGUAAGUGCAAAAGGGUCACAGCACCCUGACUACUUCAAUUAGCUGACGUGGUCUGGGUGCCUACAGUGUCCCUUUAAGUAAUAUAUAGCAGAGACUGGGUGUAUAAUUUAGUGUUCUCUACAUACUAUAAUAACUGUAUAAGUUAUACAGAUGUUGCAUUAUAAUAUUCUAGAUGUGAGAAGAUGGCUGUUCUGUUGAGACAAUGAAAGGCUGAGCCAGGUAUAUUGGGCAUAGGCAUAGCACAUGCGACCCUGAGGUGUGAACAACUGCUGCAGUCUGUGUAUUAACGAACUACGUGAGCAGUCUUGUUGCCACCAAGUUGUAUAUCGAAAAAUCGGUUAAAGCAGCACUGUUGGAGAUUUUGCAUAGUUUGCAAAGACUCCCAAUGGUGGCAUUGCUGCUGGGGGGUAAGUGAGUUCUACUUACCUGAACCUGUUGACGCCCUUCUCUUCCGGACAGCCCUCUGCUGCAGCUUCACCUCCAUAGACCGAGCCAAUUCCAUGAAGCCAUCGCUGGUGCCCCCUACUGCCUCUACAGCCUGCCUCCUCUCCUUUCUAUAUCUCGUCCUCCUCUCUUCUCUCUAUAUAUAUGGCUUUGUUGCCAGUCACGCCCCUCCGUUUCCUAUACACCCUACCCAGCACUAACUGUGCCAGGGAGGGAGUUUACAUAGCAGCCACAGCGCAUCUAUUUUUGGAUGAUUAGUACUUUUUCAAAUAACUUUUCAUUUAAAAACAUUUAUAUAUAAUGUUUCCUUUUUAUGAAAGGGAUCCACAACAGACAAGGAUAGAGAACCCCCUGCGAAAAGCAAAUCCAUCCAUAUUUUAAUGCAGUAUAUUGAGGAUAUUAAAGGGAAAUAAGCCACUUUCUGUGCGGAAGGGAGGGGAUAGAUUUACAACGAAAAACUAGUUAAUACUAACUCUAACACCAAAACAGAUUGACAAAUAAAAACCCUCUGCUGAUUAGCUAAAUAUAACCUGAGCCAGUAUACCCCCUUUUAAAGGGUAAUCAUUGAUAUAAUUUCUAAAAACAAUAUUGCCCAAGUUUAGAAAAAAAAAACAACAACACGCAAAACUCUAACCCUGCAAACCCAUUCACUGCAACAGAAUAUCUCCUCCAACACCAAUCCAGGUUCUCUCAAUUCUGGUCAAUAGCUACUGAUUUUAUCCCAUAAUCUCCCACACAAGCAGAGUUUUGAGAUAAGUAAUUUAUGUCCAACGAGCAGUUCCAAUUAUCACAGGGUGAUGGGAAAUGCUCAAUGAAUCGGUAACAGUUAUUGACAGUUUAAUGAAUUGGGCUGUUAAUGUUAAUGUUUUAGAGAGUGGAGGAUUGCACAUGCAUGGCCUGGGACUCCGCUCCAAAUAAACAUGCAACGUAUACAUAUUGCAAACACAAUAGGAUCAAAAUUAGCACAGGCAACCGAGCAAAGUAUUCUGGGCUGCCUUACUAACCGGCCUUGUUGUUUAUAAGCCAUUAUUAAACACGUAGUGUGGACUCCAGGUACCAUGUACUUUGCAGUAAUGCCAAAUGCUUAUACUGACCCAUUUAUACCCUCCCCUCAUAGUAUGUCUGGAACCUAACCAGUGUCCUUUUAAGAUGACCAUAUUUUUCAGAAUGCGCGCUUGGCAAUGGUUUCAGAGAGCGGCCUUUUCAAUGUUGUCGUGAAAUCUCCAAUUAUAAUCUGUGAUAAGGAAGCUAAAUGUUUGUGCUGUACUCCAAGGAAGCCUAAACAAUAAAGCUUUCAUAUUCGCUGGCACGAAGCAUCACAUGAUGUACCCAGUGGAUGCCGUUACUUUAACCAUUUAUGGGACGAGGUUUAGCAUUUAUCAUUCUAAAAGUAACUUUAAUUGAAGGUAUGAAUUUACUGUACUCAUGGUCUUUAUCAAUUACAUAUUACUGGAUUUAAAGGACCACUUCACACUUACUCAUAAAGUCACUAUUUAGAAAACAUACCCCAAAGAAUACAUGCAUGCAUUUUUCCUCUAUAUCUGUCCCUGGUGUGCAUGUAUUGCCUGUCUGAGAGGCAUGCGCAUGAGACAAGCACACCUGACUAAAGAGCGCCUGCCGUUUCCAUUAGCUCAAGGGAGGUAACGGAUGCAGGUAGCAAACCAUCCAGGCUGUUUGACAGCCUGGGGGUGUUUAUUAUUUAAUGAUAAAAAUGCCUUUUCAAUGGGAUACCCUUCAACCAUAAACUCCUUCAGCAAGCUGGUCAUUUUAAUGUUUCCACAUCUGUUUGUGUGCUUGUGGGCAGGUUUGUCAUACAUUUGCACUCAACGCACAUUACUGUGAGUUUUAUUGCUUUGGAGCUCUGGGAUAUAGCCAUACGCACAGCACAUUGUGAGUCUUAUUGCUGUGGAGCUCUGUGAUAAUCAUAAUAGUCAUAAUAAUAGCAUAAUAUU